AGCAGCCGCGGUAAUUCCAGCUCCAAUAGCGUAUAUUAAAGUUGUUGCAGUUAAAAAGCUCGUAGUUGAAUUUCGGGGUCAAUAAGUUGGUCGUGCCAAUGGUAUGUACUGGCUUUAUUGAUUCCUACCUCUUGACGAACUGUGAUGCCAUUAAUUUGGUGUUGCAGGAAAUCAGGACUGUUACCUUGAAAAAUUAGAGUGUUUAAAGCAGGCUUACGCUUGAAUACAUUAGCAUGGAAUAAUGAAAUAGGACGUUUGAACCUAUUUUGUUGGUUUCUAGGAUCGACGUAAUGAUUAAUAGGGAUAGUUGGGGGCAUUAGUAUUCAAUUGUCAGAGGUGAAAUUCUUGGAUUUAUUGAAGACUAACUACUGACGAAAGCAUUUGCCAAGGAUGUUUUCAUUAAUC
rnacentral:rRNA from 1 species